AGUGAACGCUGGCGGCGUGCUUAACACAUGCAAGUCGAACGAGAACGGGCUAUAGCUUGCUAUAGUUGUCAGCUAAGUGGCGCACGGGUGAGUAAUGUAUAGGUAAUAUGCCUCUUACUAAGGGAUAACAAAUGGAAACGUUUGCUAAUACCUUAUACUCCUUAUUAACAGAAGUUAAUAAGGGAAAGAUUUAUUGGUAAGAGAUUAGCCUGUAUUGUAUCAGUUAGUUGGUGGGGUAAUGGCUUACCAAGACUAUGACACAUAACUGGUUUGAGAGGAUGAUCAGUCACACUGGAACUGAGACACGGCCCAGACUCCUACGGGAGGCAGCAGUGGGGAAUAUUGCACAAUGGACGAAAGUCUGAUGCAGCAACGCCGCGUGGAGGAUGACACAUUUCGGUGUGUAAACUCCUUUUAUAUGAGAAGAUAAUGACGGUAUUAUAUGAAUAAGCACCGGCUAACUCCGUGCCAGCAGCCGCGGUAA
rnacentral:rRNA from 1 species